rnacentral:rRNA from 1 species
UUUUAUGAGAGUUUGAUCCUGGCUCAGGACGAACGCUGGCGGCGUGCCUAAUACAUGCAAGUCGAACGCUUCUUUUUCCACCGGAGCUUGCUCCACCGGAAAAAGAGGAGUGGCGAACGGGUGAGUAACACGUGGGUAACCUGCCCAUCAGAAGGGGAUAACACUUGGAAACAGGUGCUAAUACCGUAUAACAAUCGAAACCGCAUGGUUUUGAUUUGAAAGGCGCUUUCGGGUGUCGCUGAUGGAUGGACCCGCGGUGCAUUAGCUAGUUGGUGAGGUAACGGCUCACCAAGGCCACGAUGCAUAGCCGACCUGAGAGGGUGAUCGGCCACAUUGGGACUGAGACACGGCCCAAACUCCUACGGGAGGCAGCAGUAGGGAAUCUUCGGCAAUGGACGAAAGUCUGACCGAGCAACGCCGCGUGAGUGAAGAAGGUUUUCGGAUCGUAAAACUCUGUUGUUAGAGAAGAACAAGGAUGAGAGUAACUGUUCAUCCCUUGACGGUAUCUAACCAGAAAGCCACGGCUAACUACGUGCCAGCAGCCGCGGUAAUACGUAGGUGGCAAGCGUUGUCCGGAUUUAUUGGGCGUAAAGCGAGCGCAGGCGGUUUCUUAAGUCUGAUGUGAAAGCCCCCCCGGCUCAACCGGGGAGGGUCAUUGGAAACUGGGAGACUUGAGUGCAGAAGAGGAGAGUGGAAUUCCAUGUGUAGCGGUGAAAUGCGUAGAUAUAUGGAGGAACACCAGUGGCGAAGGCGGCUCUCUGGUCUGUAACUGACGCUGAGGCUCGAAAGCGUGGGGAGCAAACAGGAUUAGAUACCCUGGUAGUCCACGCCGUAAACGAUGAGUGCUAAGUGUUGGAGGGUUUCCGCCCUUCAGUGCUGCAGCUAACGCAUUAAGCACUCCGCCUGGGGAGUACGACCGCAAGGUUGAAACUCAAAGGAAUUGACGGGGGCCCGCACAAGCGGUGGAGCAUGUGGUUUAAUUCGAAGCAACGCGAAGAACCUUACCAGGUCUUGACAUCCUUUGACCACUCUAGAGAUAGAGCUUCCCCUUCGGGGGCAAAGUGACAGGUGGUGCAUGGUUGUCGUCAGCUCGUGUCGUGAGAUGUUGGGUUAAGUCCCGCAACGAGCGCAACCCUUAUUGUUAGUUGCCAUCAUUCAGUUGGGCACUCUAGCAAGACUGCCGGUGACAAACCGGAGGAAGGUGGGGAUGACGUCAAAUCAUCAUGCCCCUUAUGACCUGGGCUACACACGUGCUACAAUGGGAAGUACAACGAGUCGCGAAGUCGCGAGGCUAAGCUAAUCUCUUAAAGCUUCUCUCAGUUCGGAUUGCAGGCUGCAACUCGCCUGCAUGAAGCCGGAAUCGCUAGUAAUCGCGGAUCAGCACGCCGCGGUGAAUACGUUCCCGGGCCUUGUACACACCGCCCGUCACACCACGAGAGUUUGUAACACCCGAAGUCGGUGAGGUAACCUUUGGAGCCAGCCGCCUAAGGUGGGAUAGAUGAUUGGGGUGAAGUCGUAACAAGGUAGCCGUAUCGGAAGGUGCGGCUGGAUCACCUCCUUU